UACGAAGGGGGCUAGCGUUGCUCGGAAUUACUGGGCGUAAAGGGCGCGUAGGCGGCCUGCUAAGUCGAACGUGAAAUCCCUGGGCUCAACCCAGGAACUGCGUCCGAUACUGGUUGGCUUGAAUCCGGGAGAGGGAUGCGGAAUUCCAGGUGUAGCGGUGAAAUGCGUAGAUAUCUGGAGGAACACCGGUGGCGAAGGCGGCAUCCUGGACCGGCAUUGACGCUGAGGCGCGAAAGCCAGGGGAGCAAACGGG
rnacentral:rRNA from 1 species